ensembl:lncRNA
CUAGAGGAAAUGCUUCAUAUAGUUAAAUGGGCUUUGUGUAUCAAAUAAAAUAAUUUGAGGCUCAGAAAAUCUCUCCCUUAACAAAAUUUCCUCUACUCCUACUUUAUCUGAGGUUUGAAGAAAGCAGUCAGACAAAGCAGUUUUAAACUGGUGAUGGACAAAUGAAAAAUUUUAACAUAAAAAGGAAAAGCAUUUAUUUAUGCCCCAAUGGAUACUAAAAAUUAUUCAGUAUCACUGAUUAAAUGUAAAUGUGAUAAACUAGUUUUAGCAAAACGUUCCAUACUAUCUCUUUGCAUGCUAUUUAGCCAUUCUUCUGUAGUGUAAUUUACAAAGGCAAAAUAAGCCUAACAAGAACAAGAAUAAGACAGGGGCAUUUAAUAUUUUUUUUUUCUCCCCUCGGUUUCCAAGAAUAAUGACAGAUUUUAAGCUGCCCAGACCUUAGAGUUCGAGGACCACUGGGAGAAGUGAGUUUGCAUCUGUGGUCAUUGAAACUGUAAGGGAAAAAAAUUAUCUGCUCAACAUUUAUAAGUCCAUGGGACCUUAUGGAAUUAGCAGACAUUCUAGUUGGACACCUCUCAUCAAUUUAUUUAACAAAGGUUGUGGAAGUAUGGUGGGGAUUUGUGCUGACUGGAAGCUAUCCAAUGUUAUACCAAUCUGCAUGUAAGAAGAUCCAGAAAGCUACACCUGUUAAUCUAACCUCAGUCCCUGGAGAAGUUAUGGAGAAGAUUGUUCUGGAUGAUAUUGAAAGGCAGUUAAAGAAAAAAGCCAUAAGCAGGACCCCCAGGUCCUUCUCUGCAGGUCUACUCUCAAGGACUGCUCCUUCCAGUCUGUAUAAAUGCCUGGGAUUCCUCUGGCCCAAGUGCACAACCUUGCACUUAAUUGUGUUGAACCUCAUUAGAUUCACCCAGGCCAACUUUCAAGUCUGUUGAGGUCUCUCUGAAUGACAUCCUUUCCUUCCACCGUGUCAACUGUACCACUCAGCUUGGCGUCAUCAGCAAACUUGUUGAAGGUGCAAUCAAUUGUCAUCACAUGCCAAGUCUCUGAAGGGUAACUUUGUACGAGCUCUCCUACAUUCCAUGUAUUUUUGUGGUGAUGGAACCAUGGUGUGAUAAGAGCUUAUGGGGAGUCAGGUGAGUGAUUUCAUGUCUUCACUUCCAGGAAUGGAGACACACAACUGCGUGCAACUACUUCAUUGUUUAUGGUAGCAAAGAGGAAGUCUCCUUGCAUUCAGUCAACAUUUGUGUUUGUAGAUGAUAGCCAAUUCUAGCUUUGUUCAAGUUCUAGGAAAAAAGUGUUUUUGAUUUACCCAAGAGAAAGUCCUCUAAUUAUAUACCAACAGGAGAAGCGCUGUGUUGUUGAUCCGAAUCUAGCACCAAUUUCUCUGUGGAUAAUGGUGUCUGGAGAGAAUGAUAUAUAGACAGAUAGAUAGAUAAAUACUAGCCUAAUAAAAGAUAACAUCAAUCUUGAAAGCUUUGUCUUGCUUGCAUCCUUAAAUCACUGGAGCUAUCAGAAGGUAAGUUUUUGCAGUUGGAUGCAUUUACGUGGAUUCACACCAAAUCCAUUAGACUGACUAUACAGGGGACCAGACUCCAAACUAAACUGACACUUAAAACAGUAAUACAUUUCCAG